UACAGAGGUCCCAAGCGUUGUUCGGAUUCACUGGGCGUAAAGGGUGCGUAGGUGGUGAGGUAAGUCGGAUGUGAAAGCUCGGAGCUCAACUCCGAAAUGGCAUUGGAAACUACCCUGCUAGAGGGUCGGAGGGGGGACUGGAAUUCUCGGUGUAGCAGUGAAAUGCGUAGAUAUCGAGAGGAACACCAGUGGCGAAGGCGAGUCCCUGGACGACUCCUGACACUGAGGCACGAAAGCUAGGGGAGCAAACAGG
rnacentral:rRNA from 1 species